UUUGUUCCUAAAAAUUAUUUUUAUUUUAUGUUCCUUUUUGUUUGUUUUUUUUUUUUGUAUCUUUUUGUUAUUUGUUUGCAUAAAUUGUUUAAACAUAUAUAUAUUUUUACAUGUAUUCUAUUUCUUGAAGCUUACGGUUAUUUUUAUUUUACUGAUUUAUUUUCCACGUAAAUCCAUUGAUUAGCAGAAUGCUAUCUCAAGUGCUGCUGCAUACAUUUUAGUUUGACGCGGUCACAUGCAAAAUAUUUCUAAAAUUUGUAUUUAAUAUUCAGUCUGUUGUGUCAGUUCCGAGAUAAAAAUAAUUACAGUGAGCAACACUUGUAUAUUAUUAGUAGCUUGAUGAUUCUUU
rnacentral:lncRNA from 1 species